rnacentral:rRNA from 1 species
GACGAACGCUGGCGGCGCGCCUAACACAUGCAAGUCGAACGAGCGAGAGAGAGCUUGCUUUCUCAAGCGAGUGGCGAACGGGUGAGUAACGCGUGAGGAACCUGCCUCAAAGAGGGGGACAACAGUUGGAAACGACUGCUAAUACCGCAUAAGCCCACGACCCGGCCUCGGGUCGAGGGAAAAGGAGCAAUCCGCUUUGAGAUGGCCUCGCGUCCGAUUAGCUAGUUGGUGAGGUAACGGCCCACCAAGGCGACGAUCGGUAGCCGGACUGAGAGGUUGAACGGCCACAUUGGGACUGAGACACGGCCCAGACUCCUACGGGAGGCAGCAGUGGGGAAUAUUGCACAAUGGGGGAAACCCUGAUGCAGCGACGCCGCGUGGAGGAAGAAGGUCUUCGGAUUGUAAACUCCUGUUGUUGAGGAAGAUAAUGACGGUACUCAACAAGGAAGUGACGGCUAACUACGUG